AUGGGGAGGUCUAGGUCACGUCCAGCCCCCCUGCAGCAUGGGGAGGUCUAGGCCACGUCCAGCCCCCCUGCAGCAAGGGGAGGUCUAGGGGAGGUCUAGGCCACAUCCAGCCCCCCUGCAGCAAGGUGAGGUCUAGGGGAGGUCUAGGUCACGUCCAGCCCCCCUGCAGCAUGGGGAGGUCUAGGUCACGUCCAGCCCCCCUGCAGCAAGGGGAGGUCUAGGCCAGAUCCAGCCCCCUGCAGCAAGGGGAGGUCUGGGGAGGUCUAGGUCAGUCCAGCCUCCCUGCAGCAAGGGGAGGUCUAGGCCACAUCCAGCCCCCUGCAGCAAGGAGGGGU